GAUUCAGCGAGCGAGCAACAUGGACUUAGCCAGGACUCGUCCAGUUCAUGACUGCAAACUAUGGCCACGAAUGGUGCACAGACGCAGAGAAGAAAACAAGAAAGAGUGCGAGACAUGUGGGAGAUGGGACUCCAACCCACCACCUCAGAGUCUUCAGAAUGGCGUUGGAGCUUCCGUCAACGAGCAAACACUGUAUCUACUCGACCACAAGCAGCACAAUAUUUUGGCCCAAUACUGGCCGGACAUUGGCAAUGCCGGUACAACACUGGGCCAACAUUGGGCCAAGACGCCUCUCAUAAAGCCGUAUAGCCAACAGACAAGCUUUUAUUUCGUUUCUAGGUAACAAACGACCACAGAACACGCAGCAAAGUGCUGCCAUUGUGUAAAUAUUUGUGUAGAACCAUGCAAAGGUUACAUUUAACAGUAACUAAAAAGCAUCUUCUAAAAGUCAUUAAAUGGCACAGGACCGUUAGACUA